rnacentral:rRNA from 1 species
GUUUCCGCCCUUUAGUGCUGCAGCAAACGCAUUAAGCACUCCGCCUGGGGAGUACGGCCGCAAGGCUGAAACUCAAAGGAAUUGACGGGGGCCCGCACAAGCGGUGGAGCAUGUGGUUUAAUUCGAAGCAACGCGAAGAACCUUACCAGGUCUUGACAUCCUCUGACAAUCCUAGAGAUAGGACGUCCCCUUCGGGGGCAGAGUGACAGGUGGUGCAUGGUUGUCGUCAGCUCGUGUCGUGAGAUGUUGGGUUAAGUCCCGCAACGAGCGCAACCCUUGAUCUUAGUUGCCAGCAUUCAGUGGGGCACUCUAAGGUGACUGCCGGUGACAAACCGGAGGAAGGUGGGGAUGACGUCAACUCAUCAUGCCCCUUAUGACCUGGGCUACACACGUGCUACACUGGACAGAACAAAGGGCAGCGAAACCGCGAGGUUAAGCCAAUCCCACAAAAAACUCAAAGGAAUUGACGG